AAGCUCGUAGUUGAAUUUCGGGGUUCUACCGUUGGUCGGGCUAACAAGUCUGUACUAGCGUGUAGAAUCUCUACCUUCUGGGGAACCAUCAUGUUAUUAAUUUAGCGUGGUGGGAAACCAGGACCUUUACCUUGAAAAAAUUAGAGUGUUCAAAGCAGGCUUACGUCUGAAUACAUUAGCAUGGAAUAAUAAAAUAGGACGGUGGUCCUGUUUUGUUGGUUUCUGAACCACCGUAAUGAUUAAUAGGGAUAGUUGGG
rnacentral:rRNA from 1 species